rnacentral:tmRNA from 1 species
GGGGCUGACUUGGAUUUCGACAGAUUUCUUGUCGCACAGAUAGCAUGCCAAGUGCUACUUGUAAAACAGCAACAAAAAUAACUGUAAACAACACAGAUUACGCUCCAGCUUACGCUAAAGUUGCGUGAGUUAAUCUCCUUUUGGAGCUGGACUGAUUAGAAUUUCUAGCGUUUUAAUCAU